GACGAACGCUGGCGGCGUGCCUAAUACAUGCAAGUCGAGCGAUGAAGAUUGGUGCUUGCACCAAUUUGAAGAGCAGCGAACGGGUGAGUAACGUGUGGGGAAUCUGCCUUUGAGUGGGGGACAACAUUUGGAAACGAAUGCUAAUACCGCAUAACAUCUUUAAACAUAAGUUUUAAGUUUGAAAGAUGCAAUUGCAUCACGCAAAGAUGAUCCCGCGUUGUUUUAGCUAGUUGGUGAGGUAAAGGCUCACUAAGGCGGUGGUACAUAGCCGAGCUGAGAGGGUGGUCGGCUCCCUUGGGAGUGAGAUACGACCCUAUCACCGACGUACGGCACGGCUUGAGACGCUCCGGAUAUGUGCGAAAGUCUGACCGAGGAACGCUGCGUGAGUGAAGAAGGUUUUCGUUUCGUAAACUCUGUUGGUAGUGAAGAACGUGUGUGAGAUUGGAAGGCGCAUGAAUGACGGUUAUCUAGCCAGAAGGGGACGGUUAAUUCCGU
rnacentral:rRNA from 1 species